AGUGAACGCUGGCGGUAGGCCUAACACAUGCAAGUCGAACGGCAGCACAGUAAGAGCUUGCUCUUACGGGUGGCGAGUGGCGGACGGGUGAGGAAUACAUCGGAAUCUACUUUUUCGUGGGGGAUAACGUAGGGAAACUUACGCUAAUACCGCAUACGACCUACGGGUGAAAGCAGGGGAUCUUCGGACCUUGCGCGAUUGAAUGAGCCGAUGUCGGAUUAGCUAGUUGGCGGGGUAAAGGCCCACCAAGGCGACGAUCCGUAGCUGGUCUGAGAGGAUGAUCAGCCAAACUGGAACUGAGACACGGUCCAGACUCCUACGGGAGGCAGCAGUGGGGAAUACUGGACAAUGGGCGCAAGCCUGAUCCAGCCAUACCGCGUGGGUGAAGAAGGCCUUCGGGUUGUAAAGCCCUUUUGUUGGGAAAGAAAAGCAGCAGGUUAAUACCCCGCUGUUCUGACGGUACCAAAAGAAUAAGCACCGGCUAACUUCGUG
rnacentral:rRNA from 1 species